GGAAAGAGGGAGAGAUGGCGGUGUAGGGGGAGAGGAGAGGGAAAGGGAGGGGUGGAGAGAGGUGUGGGAAAGAGGGAGAGAUGGCGGUGUAGGGGGAGAGGAGAGAGGGAAAGGGAGGGGUGGGAGAGAGGUGUGGGAAAGAGGGAGAGAUGGCGGUGUAGGGGGAGAGGAGAGAGGGAAAGGGAGGGGUGGAGAGAGAGGUGUGGGAAAGAGGGAGAGAUGGCGGUGUAGGGGGAGGGGAGAGAGAAAGGGGGAAAUAGAAGAAGGCAGAGAGAAAGGUAGAUAGAGAUUAUUAUUAGUAUGACUGUUUAUCUUUAUUUAACCAUUACAAGUCAAUUGAGAAGGCAUUUUAACUUAUAAUACUGACCUGGCCAAGAGGCAUCACAUUACAACAGUAAACAGGACCACACACAAUCCCACUAAAAUCACAUAACACACAAUACAGAGGAAAGGUCCAAAUUCAUCAAAUAUACAACAAGAAGAAAUAUUCCCAGUGGGUUUAGAGCAGAAAAGUUCAAGGCAACACAGCAGACUGAAUGAUCAGCAGCUACACUGAUCAGACUGCAGCUCAGUUCAUGUUGCUGAAGGACUGUGGUGGGAUGAAUGAAUCAAGCCUGAGGGUCUUCUGCAGCUCAGUUCAUGUUGCUGAAGCACUGAGGUGGGGUGAAUAAAUCAAGCCUGAUGGUCUUCUGCAGCUCAGUUCAUGUUGCUGAAGGACUGAGGUGGGGUGAAUAAAUCAAGCCUGAGGGUCUUCUGCAGCUCAGUUCAUGUUGCUGAAAGACUGAGGUGGGGUGAAUAAAUCAAGCCUGAUGGUCUUCUGCAGCUCAGUUCAUGUUGCUGAAAGACUGAGGUGGGGUGAAUAAAUCAAGCCUGAUGGUCUUCUGCAGCUCAGUUCAUGUUGCUGAAAGACUGAGGUGGGGUGAAUAAAUCCAGCCUGAUGGUCUUCUGCAGCUCAGUUCAUGUUGCUGAAAGACUGAGGUGGGGUGAAUAAAUCCAGCCUGAUGGUCUUCUGCAGCUCAGUUCAUGUUGCUGAAAGACUGAGGUGGGGUGAAUAAAUCCAGCCUGAUGGUCUUCUGCAGUUCAGUCCAGCCGUUGGUGGCGGAAAACUGGAAUGAACGACAGCCAAAGGAAGUGUGGGCUUUGGGAACGACCAGUGUGAUACAUCUACCAGGGGUUGCUACUGGUAGUGGAGAUGUUGAGGAGUGAGCCGAGGUAGAGGGGGGACUUGCCUACGAGGGACUUGGGACCAGUGAGUCUGGUGUCGUGAUUGUAACGCGGCCAGUUGACCAGGGUGUAAAGGUCACAGUGAUGAGUGUUGAAGGGGGACCUGGUAACAAAGCGAAUGGCAGUGUGGUAAAUGAUGUCUACUUUGUCAAUGGAGGUUUUUGGGGCCUACAACUAAAUCACCAUAGUCCAGGAUUGGUUUUUGGGGCCUAUAACUAAAUCACCAUAGUACAGGAUUGGUUUUUGGGGCCUACAACUAAAUCACCAUAGUCCAGGAUUGGUUUUCGGGGCCUACAACUAAAUCACCAUAGUCCAGGAUUGGUUUUUGGGGCCUACAACUAA